AGCAUAAGAACCCAGGCAGUACAUCUGCAAACUGACACCACUCAGAGUCCCUGAACUCUGAGCUGAGGCAGAACAGACACAUUUGUGCAGGACAUGUGCCACGUGCCUCCCCUCAGCCCUCUGUGUGUGCUCAUGGCCUUGGCCUUUUCUGCAGGAUCCACUGUGGCCCAGAAAGUGACUCAAGUCCAACCAGCCACAAGCAGACAGGAGGGAGAAGCGGUCACCCUGGAUUGUUCAUAUGAAACAAGUUGGAGUGAAUACGAUCUUUUCUGAGAUCAGCCAAGUCCAUCAGCCUCACCAUUUCAGCCUUGCAGCUGGAAGAUUCAGCAAAGUAUUUCUGUGCUCUUGGGGA